rnacentral:tRNA from 1 species
AUAAGUAUAGUAUAUAAAUUAUUAAUACAUUUUGCUUACAACAAAAAAAAUAAAACUUAUU